rnacentral:sRNA from 1 species
GUAGGUGAACCUGCGGAGGGAUCAUUACACAAUAAAAUACGAAGGCCGUUCGCGGCUGGACUAUUUAUUACCCUUGUCUUUUGCGCACUUGUUGUUUCCUGGGCGGGUUCGCUCGCCACCAGGACCACAAUAUAAACCUUUUUUAUGCAGUUGCAAUCAGCGUCAGUAUAACAAAUGUAAAUCAUUUACAACUUUCAACAACGGAUCUCUUGGUUCUGGCAUCGAUGAAGAACGCAGCGAAAUGCGAUACGUAGUGUGAAUUGCAGAAUUCAGUGAAUCAUCGAAUCUUUGAACGCACAUUGCGCCCUUUGGUAUUCCAAAGGGCAUGCCUGUUCGAGCGUCAUUUGUACCCUCAAGCUUUGCUUGGUGUUGGGCGUUUUUGUCCCCCCCAAAAAGGGKACUCGCCUUAAAAGGAUUGGCAGCCGGCCUACUGGUUUCGCAGCGCAGCACAUUUUUGCGCUUGCAAUCAGCAAAAGAGGACGGCAAUCCAUCAAGACUCCUUCUCACGUUUGACCUCGGA